CAGAGCUUGACGCUUCCUUAAGCUACAGCCAUGCAUUGACCGACCAGCCUCUGGUGUGGUCGGAGCACGGCAGUCGUCUUUUCCUGUUGCGCCUUGGUUCCUCUGCAAGAUCAGUCGAGUUGGAUGAUCUGGAUCUUGCUGACUCGUCCAUUGGUCUUGAACUGAGGCUGCAGGUUUUAGUUGACUGUGGUGGUGUAAUACCUGCGACUUUAACAGCAGUAGGGGUAGACAUGAUCACAAUAUGGGGGCCAUCCCAUAAGGGCCCCAAGGGUGGUAGGAUUCCAGCAUUUAACCCAUACAGAGUCCCCAGGUUGAAAAGGAUGUAUUGUAUCUGUAAGGCUAACAGGUAUUCUUUCUCUUACCCACCUUUGUACUUCUUGCAUUACCUCACCUAAUGCCUGCAUUUAUCUUCUUAGGGUCGGUUCUCCAAUUUCCUUUCAAUCUCCUUUUAACUGAGAUAUAAGUGGGGGUGGUGGGCCAUACACUAUCUCAUAGGGUGGAUACCCGGUUAAUUUGUAGGGGUACACCUGACUCGGAGAAGGACCAUGGGCAAUACCUGGUCCCACCUUAAAUGAGUCUCUUGGCAAAACUUCUUCAACAGUUGUUUCAGUCCAGUUCUCCCUUUCAACCUUUCAAGAAUUUUGUGGGCGAUAGGCUGCAUGCAGUUUCCAUUUAAUUUUUAACAUCUGAGUUAGUUGCUGUACUACUUCUGCCACAAAAGCUGGUCCAUUGUCUGAGCCUAAGGUUAGAGGCAGUUCAAAUCUAGGAAUAAUGUCUUUUAAUAAUAUCCUGCUUACUUCUCAUGGCUUUUCUGUCCUGGUGGGGAAUGAUUCGACACACCCUGAAAAGGUGCAGACAAACACUAACAUGUAACGAUAGCCCCCAGCCUGAGACAGUUCGGUAAAGUCUACAAGUAGGUUUACACAUGGCACUGGCCCUGUUUCCUGAAUUCCUGGGGGCCAAGUAGGUCCUUGCCUUGGGUUAUUCUGGGCGCAAGUAACACACUGCUCGCAGACAGCUCGAGUGAUGGCAGUUAGGCGUGGCACAUAGAAAUACUGCCCUACGAGAAUCUCUAAAGCUGUCUUCCCCAUGUGUGUUCCUUGGUGAAACUGCUUUAUAAAUCAGGGGGCAGUGGCUUCUGGAAUGGCAAGCGUCCCAUCUGAAAACUUCCACCAGCCUCCUUUCUGAUAACUCCCGUUUUCCUGCAUGAACCACGCCUUCUUGUUGGACAAGUAGUUAGGAGCAUCUGCAAGGCGAGGCUCUAAUAAGGGCAUGGCAUAAGUCUCUUCUUUAUUUGUUUUUUUCUGUCAUUGCAGCCUUUUUUGCUUCCUUGUCUGCUUUUCUGUUUCCUGUAGCCUUAUCACUUCCUCCUGUUUGAUGUCCUUUACAGUGGAUGACUGCUACUUCCUUUGGAGUCCAUAUAGCCUCUAGGAGCUGCUCUAUUUUCUUUUUGUUCUUUAUUUCUUUUCCUUCAGUAGUUAACAGUCCUCUUUCUUUGUAAAUAGCGCCAUGAGCAUGCAAGGUUGCAAAAGCAUAUCUUGAGUCAGUAUAGAUAUUCACUGACCUUCCCUUCGCUAGAAAUAGUGCUCUUAGUGAGAGCUAUUAGUUCUGCCUUCUGCGUUGAGGUUCCUACCGGUAGGGUGUGGGCUUCAGCUACUGAGCUUAAUGUGACUAUGGCACAUCUGGCCUUUCUGAUACCCUCAGAUAUGAAGCUGCUUCCAUUAGUAAAAUAUUCAACAUCUGGGUCUUUUAAGGGUUGAUCCUUUAAGUCUUCCUGGCUUGAAAAGACUUCAUCCACUGUUUCUACACAGCAGUGGUACCCUGGGGCACAUAACAGGGGCUUUCCACAUUCUGCACAUUCUAUUCGUAACAGUGUGGAUGGAUUUAGGGUAUUCACAGUCUCUAAGGUGAUAUGGAUUCUCACAUAGGAGUCCUUGGUAUCUUAGCAUCCUAGGGUUAGAGAGUCAACGAUGUCCUCUUUGUUCCAUCAAGGUGACAACUGUGUGGGGCACACGAAUUAUCAACUUCUGUCCAAAUGUGAGCUUGUUAGCAUCUUCGGCUAACAAGGCAGUGGCAGCCAGCGCCUUGAAACAGGGUGGCCAUCCCAUAGCCACCAAGUCCAGUUGCUUGGACAAAUACGCUACAGGCCAAUACCAUGACUCUAGUGUUUGCACUAAGACUCCCGUAGCCAUACCUUUUCUUUCAUGAACAUACAAGUAAAAGGGCUUUGUCAUGUCUGGCAGUCCUAGUGCUGGGGCCCAGGUUAAAGCUUUCUUGAUUUCCUUGAAAGCCAUGUCCUGUUCUUUUCCCCAAAGGAGGGGCUCUUUUUCUCCCACUUUGGUUGCCUCAUAUAAAGGCUUUGCUAGGAGCGAGUAGUUAGGAAUCCAUAUGCGGCAAAAACCAGCUGCCCCUAGGAAUUCCCACGCUUGCCGCCUUGUGUCUGGCUGAGGAAUGCUACAGACAAUCUCUUUUCGCUCCUGUCCAAGCUCACACCGCCCUUGAGAGACGUAAAAGCCAAGAUACCAAACUCCUUGGCCACAGAUCUGUGCCUUUUCCUUAGAUACUUUAUAGCCAGCUUCCCACAGCACUCGAAGGAGACUGUGUUCCUUGGAUACAUUCCUUUGUUGUGGGUGCAGCUUACAGCAGAUCAUCUGUAUAUUGCAGUAAGACACAACGAUUGCUUGGUGGUGUGAAAGCCUUUAAGUCUGAGGCUAGUGCUUCUUCAAAGAUAGUUGGGACCCCAUCUCUACUAAAAAUACAAAAAAUUAGCUGGGCGUCGUGGCAGGCGCCUGUAAUCCCAGCUACUCGGGAGGCUGAGGCAGGAGAAUGGCAUGAACCCAGGAGGCAGAGCUUGCAGUGAGCCGAGAUUGCGCCACUGCACUCCAGCCUGGGCGACAGAGCGAGACUCUGUCUCAAAACAAAACAAAACAAAACAAAACAAAGAAACAAAAAAAAGAUAGUUGGGGAGUUUUUAAAUCCUUGGGGAAGUCUAGACCUUGGGAAAGUCUAGACCAGGUAUACUGAGAUGGGCCUCACUCAAAGGCAAAAAUGUCUCAGCUUACAGGGGCUAACAGGAUGCAAAAGAAUGCAUCUUUAAUGUCCAAGCAUGUGAACCAAGCAGCACUAGCAGGUAUUUGUCCAAGCACAGUGUACGGGUUAGGCACAAUAGCAUGCAGUAUAGCAGCUACCUGGUUGACUGCCCUUAAAUCUUGUACAGGCUGGUAGUCACCAGAAGGUUUUAACACUGGCAAUAGGGGAGUAUUUCAUGAGGAGACACAUCUGGCUAUUAUUCCAAAUUCAAGGAGCCAUUUUAAGUGCUUGGCAAUCCCUUGGUUAGCCUCUAUGGGAAUGGAAUACUGAUGGAUCCGCACCAGGCAGGUUCCUCAUAGUACCUCUACUAUAACAGGUGCUUGAUUUACAGGGGGAUUGUCCUCCGCCCAGACUCCUGGUAACUUAAGGAGUAAGUCUGUGAACAGUUUUUCUUUCUCAGCUAUGCUGUACUCCUUUCCACACUCCCGGCAACUACAUUCAUAAAGUCUCCACUCCUCUGCAUUGGGUACUGUAAGAGUUAGUACCAUAGCCUUUUUUUUUACCUAGGCUCAAGGUCAUAUCUCUGCUUGGUGUGAAGGAGAUUUGAGCCUGCAUCUUCUGCAGCAAGUCUCUCCUCAACAAGGGCCCCAGGCAGUUCGGCAAGUAUAAGAACUUGUGUUGGACUUCUUGGUCUCCAAUCAUACAUCUCUUUGAUUUGAAAAAUAAUGUUUUUUCUGUGAUACCUGUGGCCCCAAUAAUAUUAGCAGUCUUUUGAUAAUGACCCAAUUGUUUGAGUCACAACCGAGUGUUCAGCACCUGUGUCUACCAUAAAGUCUGUUUUUCAGCCCCCUACUACCGUUGAGACCAUGGGCUCCUCGGGGCCUAAUGAGAUGGAGCCCGGUCUGUCUCAGUCUUCAAGGUAGCCGUUGGCGCCUGCCAGCCCAAUUAGAUCCAUGUCAGAUCCUACUACACCUUGCGCAGCAGGGGAAGGAGGCCUUGUCCAGCCAUUCUGUCCCUGGUUGUUGCCUUUAUCCUUUUCUUUCUCUGGACAUUCAUCUUUCCAAUGCUGUCUUUGCUUGCAUCUCGCACAUUGAUCUCUCUCUAGUCUAGGCUGACCUUCCUGACCUGUCUUGGUCUCCUCACCUGGCCUAGCUUGUCCUCUAUCAUGACUGCAUCUAUGGCCACAUCCACGUCCUCUUGCAAAUCCAGCCUCUCUUUCAACCAGGGCUGCAGCUAAGAACUCUGCCUUUUCCUUCACUCUAUGCUUGGCCUCCUGCUUUACUUCUUCAUCUCGAUUUACAAACACUUUGGUUGCCACCUGGAUAAGCUGGGAAAUGUUCAUACCUUCAAACCCCUCCAGCUUCUACAACUUUCACUUAAUGUCAUUUUGUGCCUGACUUACAAAUGCCGCAUUAACCAUGCACCGAUUCCCUGCCGCUUCUGGGUCAAAAGGUGUGUAGAGCCGGUAAGCCUCACACAGCCUCUCAUAGAACUCACUGGGGCUUUCAUCUGGUUUCUGACAGACUUCUGAAACCUUUCCAGUGUUUGUUGCCUUCUUCCCUUCAGCCUUUAUUCCUUGUAUUAGAGCCUCUUGGUAUCUCAGCAAGUUCAGCAGAUCUUGGGCCUGAUUUGGGUCCCAGCCUGGGUCAGUUUCUAUUGGCAAAGCCUGCCGAGCACACUGUCUGACAUCUCCUGUACCUACUGGGGCAUUGCUUUCUAGUCUCUGAUGAGCUGCUUGUAUUACUCUGUGGUGUUCUUCUGUAUUGAACAGUGACAGAAGGAGCUGUUUGCAGUCAGCCCAGGUUGGGUUGUGAGUUAAGAUGGACUGCAUUAGGUCGAUAAGAGCCUGGGGUUUUUCCAUAUAGGAGAGAGUAUGCUCUUCCAGUUGAAAAUGUCUGUAGUAGAGAAGGGCUGAUAAACAAAGCCAUUCUCCUCCUUGAACCUCAUUUUGUGCAUCUAAAUAGAUCUGUCGCCUAGUUUCUCUGAGGGGCAUCUGCAUGUCUCGGCCGCGUCCUGAUCGGAGAUGGCCAACCUCAUCCUGGAGUUCCUCCUUUGAUUUAUCAGGCAGUGGCCCUGGCUCUUCCCUACAUAGUGAAGUUUGGGGGGUACUCUUCUCUGAGUCUGACCUUCCGGAGACAGCUGCUGGAGUGUCUCCCUAAGUCUUGUCAGAGAUAGGUAAAUAGGAACAUAAGGGGGUGGAGUCUCUAGCUCUUCUGGUGGGGCCUGUAGGACAGGUUUUUCCUGUUUUCCUUGCUACUGUUUCUCCUGGGCCUGGCUUUUUGGGUCUUUUCUAUGGUUCCUUGUUUUGUACAAGCCACUAGAGUCUUAAAUAAUUUUCAAAACAGGCCUGUAGCCAUUUCGGAUGGGUUUGAAUCAUGCUCAGCCAGGAGUCUGUGUAUGGAAACUGCUCAGGGUGCCCAGGCUGUUCUCCGAUCCCAGUGACCACCUGAAACACUCAGCCAAUUAUUUCCCAAUCUAAGGUUCCCUCGGCCAGCCACCCUACAUUAAAGGAGAGCCAGUCAAUUUCACAAAGGGUUCUUAGCCACUACGGUGUUAACUUCAUUCCAUAAUCACCAUAAAAGUCUUUCUUGAAGUUCUUCAAUAUACAUUCUAAUUGAGUUGGCUUCGAUGCUUUUCCUCCCAUUUCCUCCCUCACGGUGCACUUUCACUCUCACUUUCACUCUCGGAUUCACCAGACUGGGUCCUAUUACGGGAGGCUCGGACACUGCUUGGCCAGGUCACAGCCAACUACUGCUGUGAAGCUAUGAAGCUAAUCCUGUCAGCCUUACACAGUGACCUAGGUCUGGCUCAUCCCACGCUUGCCUCGGAGGACACAGUCUGCGCUAAGAGAUCUGCACCUCCCAGCUGGGCAUGGUGAUUCAUGCCUGUAAUACCAGCACUUUGGGAGGCUGAGGCAGGCGGAUCACGAGGUCAGGAGAUUGAGAUCAUCCUGGCUAACAUGGUGAAACCCCGUCUCUACUAAAAAUACAAAAACAAAAUUAGCCGGGCGUGGUGGCGGGCGCCUGUAGUCCCAGCUACUUGGGAGGCUGAGGUGGAAGAAUGGCAUGAACCCAGGAGGCGGAGCUUGCAGUGAGCCGAGAUCGCACCACUGCACUGCAGCCUGGGCAACACAGUGAGACUCCAUCUCAAAAAAAAAAAAAAAAAAAAGAUCUGCACCUCCCCAUGUCACUCCCCGCAUUGGCCUCUCCCGAGACCAUCUCUUUCACACACUUUCACUCCUCAUUGGAUGAAACAAGCCUUUCUCAUGUCCCAGGUAGGUUCACACGCACCCACCCACACACUCCCAGUUUCUGCUUCCAGAUCCAGUGAACCACUUUCACUUGUUAGUGGGGACAUGGGGUUCAUCCAAAUUGGCAGUCCACUCCUGCCACCCCCAGCCACUCUGGGUUGAAUAAGUGGUUGUUCCCUGGGAGGUGAUCAAGCUCCCCUUCCGUCCUUAUGGGAUGGGCUUUUCCAGGGCCCAACCUUACCAUGGUUCAGUAGUCUGCCUGCACGCUGCUCCUGUGACUGUCCUGCAACUCCUGAGUAGGUUCUGUUUGCACUGUCAGGGAAAGGCUCCAAGACACAGGAGAGCUGUUCUCCUUCUGGGCUAAGUCUUACCCAGUGGUGCCAAGGGUCUCAAAUCUCCUGCAUCCUGGGGCUGUAGCCCACAGGCAAAGGAUAUAGAAAUCUGCCAUCUCCAAUCCUGGACGAGCCCCCAGAAAUGUUGUGGGACAAUCAGAGACGGGAGAGACCAAACAGAGUUCAGGAAAGCCUUUAUUAAGGUGAUCACCUGGCUCAGUAGGGCUAGCGUCCAGGAAAGUCUGAGCCCCGGACAAAGAAAGCAGCCACCUUUUAAGCAGUCAGUGGCUGAGAGCUACGUGAUGCAGGAAGCGUACUUACAGAAGUGAGAACAAAGGCAGUUGAUCAGUCUUUUACAUUUAUGUAUACUACAUGUUCUAUAUCCUUGGGAAACUGUUUCUGUAACAUAUGCUUAUCAACCUUGUAACUUUGCAGCUGCGCUAGGGAGGUAAAGCAGGAACUCGCUGAGCCUCAAGGAAUGUGAAACUGGUGAGUACAGAUAAGGCUUGCUGAGCACAGAAGGAAAAACAGGCAGUUAGGAUUCUUCUCUAACUUAGACUAUGACUACGUGGGGUGGGGGGCUACAGUACACUUAGCUUUUGAAGGAAAAAGUAAAAAUGUCUUGCUGGUCUUUGAUUAUACUUUUAAAAUUCAGGAAUUCCUUCUUCACUACUGCUGCAAAACCUUGGUGUGGAUAUCUACUUUUACUGCACCAGGGAAUUGGACCCCAUUCUGGUUCAAUAACAGUUUCUUCAUUUCAGGUUGACAGUAGCCUUUCACCAGCUGCCCCAUCUGGUUGGUGUUCAGUUAUGGGCCCAUAUGGGGCUAUGGGUCAUUCCAUUAUGGUCACUGAAGCCCCAGCCCCUCAGGUCCAGCAACUCCCUUUGGUACUUCUGGGCCAAGUUUGAGGACAUGGAAGUGAUUCUGCUUCAGCUGUGCCACACUGGGGCUUGGAAAUCCCUGCAAGGCUAAGUUCGUAUCCAGAGUUACUACUGAAGCAGUUAUGUUGUCUUGGGUAAAUACCCGGGGUUGGUCAUCUCAGGCCAGGAAAUUUAGGACAUGGGCACACAUGAGUUUAGGAGCAGAGGUUUAAUAAGCAAAAGAAAGAGAAAGGAAAACAGCUCUCUCUCUAGUGAGAGUGAGGGGACUUCUGAGAGGAAAAAACCAGCUGGCAGCGGAUGCACUAGAUUUUAUAGUCAGGUUUGAGGAGCUGAUGUCUGAUUUACGUAGUGCUCACAGAUUGGUUUGAUCAGGUAUGAUGUUUAUAAAGUGUGGGGGAAGGCUGGCCGCCCCACCCUAAUCUUGUUAUGCAAAUGAGCUUUCCCCUUGGCCAGCACCAUCUUAUCUGCUCCUUAUUGUACACGUGACUGGCAGAAAAGGGAAAAUGGAGCCGCCAUCUUUAACAUGAUUGGCUUAACUGCCAGCACCUAUGUCUUCAACUCGAUUUUACAGGCUGCUGUUUGUUAGAAAGGAAAAUAAUUUGGGGCUGUUUUUCAUUAAAAGAAAAACCUUACCAAGGACUUCCCUACCCUCACUAUCUACCUAUAUCAUUACAAAGUUCUUGACUUGACUCCUAUAUCAUUACAAAGUCAUGGCCCUAUAUCAUUGACUCCUAUAUCAUUAUAAAGUCCUUGACUCCUAUAUCAUUACAAAAUCAUGGCCCAUUCCCUUCUCACCUCCCAAGUAGGCUUUUGUGUGGUGGUAAAAGCCUUAUCUCAAAUAUUUCAGUUAUGUUCAGAGUUCUUUCUCUUUUUCUAAGGAACAUAUAUAAUAAACCAUUUCUUUUUCUUUUCGUUUCUUUUCUUUUUAAUAUAGGCUCUUGCUCUUGCUCUGUCACCCAAGCUGGAGGGCAUAACCCCCACGUGUCAUGGGAGGUGGGAGGUAAUUGAAUCAUGGGGAUGGUUACCUCCAUGCUGUUCUCGUGAUGUGAGUUCGUUCUCAUGAGAUCUGAUGGUUUUAUAAGGGGCUUUAACCCAUUUUGCACUGCACUUCUUGCUGCUAACAUGUGAAGGACAUGUUUGCUUCCCCUUCCACCAUGAUUGUAAGUUUCCCGAGGUGUCCCCAGCCAUGCUGAACUGUGAGUCAAUUAAACCUCUUUCCUUUAUAAAUUACCCAGUCUUGGGUAUGUCUUUAUUGGAAGCAUGAGAACAGACUAAUACAGUAAAUUGGUACUGCCAGUGGGGUGCUGCUAUAAACAUACUCAGAAAUGUGCAAGCGACUUUGUAACUGGGUGACAGGCAGAGGUUGGAACAGUUUGAAGGGCUUAGAAGAUGAUAUGAAAAUGUUGGAAAGUCUGGAACUUCCUAGAGACUUGGAGGGCUCAGAAGAGAGGAAGAUGUGGAAAAGUUUAGAACUUCCUAGAGACUUGUUGAAUGGCUUUGAUCAAAAUGCUGAUAGUGAUAUGGACAAUAAAGUCCAAGCUGAGGUGGUCUCAGAUAGAGAUGAGAAACUCAUUGGAAACUGGAGCAAAGGUCACUCUUGCUAUGCAAAGGGACUGGCAGCAUUUCGCCCCUGCCCUAGAGAUCUAUAGAAAUUUGAACUUGAGAGAGAUGAUUUAGUGUAUCUGAUAGAAGAAAUUUCUUUUUUUUUUUUUCUUUUUUUGAGACAGAGUCUUGCACUGUUGCCCAGGCUGGAGUGCAGUGGCGUGAUCUCGGCUAACUGCAAGCUCUGCCUCUUGGAUUCAUGCCAUUCUCCUGCCUCAGCCUCCUGAGUAGCUGGGAUUACAGGCACCUACCACCAUGCCCUGCUAAUUUUUUUGUACUUCUAGUAGAGAAGGGGUUUCACCAUGUUAGCCAGCAUGGUCUCGGUCUCCUGACCUCGUGAUCCACCUGCCUCAACCUCCCAAAGUGCUGGGAUUACAGGCGUGAGCCACCGCACCCAGCCUCUGACAGAAGAAAUUUCUAAGCAACAAAGCGUUCAAGAGGAAGCAGAGCAGAAAAGUUUGGAAAAUUUGCAGCCUGAUUAUGCAAUAGAAAAGAAACCCCAUUUUCUGGGGAGAAAUUCAAGCCUGCUGCAGAAAUUUGCAAAAGUAAUAAGAAGCUGAAUGUUUUUUUUUUUUUUUUUUUUUAGGCGGAGUCUCGCUCUGUCGCCCAGGCUGGAGUGCAGUGGCGCGAUCUCGGCUCACUGCAAGCUCCGCCUCCUGGGUUCACGCCAUUCUCCUGCCUCAGCCUCCCGAGUAGCUGGGACUACAGGCGCCCGCCACCACGCCCGGCUAAUUUUUAGUAUUUUUAGUAGAGACGGGGUUUCACCGUGUUAGCCAGGAUGGUCUCGAUCUCCUGACCUCGUGAUCCACCCGCCUCGGCCUCCCAAAGUGCUGGGAUUACAGGCGUGAGCCACCGCGCCCGGCCCGAAGCUGAAUGUUAAUCUCCAAGACAAUGUGGAAAAUGUCUCCAGGGCAUGUCAGAGACCUUCGCAACAGCCCCUCCCAUCACAGGUUCAGAGGCAGAAGGGACUUGACUUGUCUCAGAUGAGACUUUGGACUUGGACUUUUGAGUUAAUGCUGGAAUGAGCUAAGACUUUGGGGGACUGUUGUCUCAGGCAAUGAAUGGGAUUGCCUCCUCCAGACCAAGACUAACUUCUCCAACUCUGUCAGCUGACUCAGUUACUCCCUCACCUUCUUUAGAAAGCUGCUCCAUCAACCAUCUUCUCUCCUAUAUGUUCAACCUCUGGCUCCCUACUGAUGAAUAAAACUUUCAUUAGCCUGUCCCCCAAUCCUGCACUCCCUUCCCAAUUAUCAUCCAAUUGUUUUCUCUCCAUCAGAGACAAACAUUUGUUUAGGGACUAUUUCAAACAUACUUAAAAAGUACAGAGAACCAUGUAGUAAACAAAGAUUUAACAGACAUUGACAUUUUGCCAUAUUUCACUAGGGUUUUCCCAUUUAUGGAAAAAAAAUGCAGGCCGGGUACAGUGGCUCAUGCCUGUAAUCCCAGCACUUUGGGAGGUUGAGGAAGGUGGAUCACUUGAGGCCAGGAGUUCAAGACCAGCCUGGCCAACAUAGCAAAACCCUAUCUCUACUAAAAAUACAAAAAUUAGCAGAGAGUGGUGGCAUGCACCUGUAUUCCCAGCUACUCAGAGGCUGAGGCACGCGAAUCACUUGAACCCAGGAGGCAGAGGUUGCAGUGAGCCAAGAUCACGCAGUGGCACUCCAGCCUGGGCAACAGAGCAAGACUCCAUCUUAAAAAAAAAAAAAUUAAAAGUAAAGAAAAAUAAAAGCCUCAGGAACACAAAACUGGAAAUUUGUCUACACAGCUGUUUCUACUUCCAUCCCUCCAUUCCUCAAUCCAUUACAAUGUGGAUUCUGCCCCUACCCUGAAACUUCUCUAGCUAAAAUCGUUCAUGACUUUUAAAAUAUAAGUGCCAAGCUAGCACAGUAGCAUGAACUGGUAGUCCUAGCUACUUGGGAGGCUGAGGGUGGAGGAUCCUUUGACCCCAGGAGUUCAAGUACGGCCUGGGUAACAGAGAAAAACCAGGUGACUUAAAAAAAAAAUGUAGGUGCCACUCAGGGGUUCAAUCCCCAGACCACUGGCAUUUGAAAGCAUGUUACAUAAGCGUUUCAUAUUGCUGGGGUCACCAAAUCAAUUUAGUAUGUCACUAAUGGCAUGAAAAAAAGACAUAAUACAAAGUGCAGAAUGUUUAAUAAAUCUUUUGCUUCAAGUAUAAAUCAUGUGUAUACUGGGUCAUUGCAAAAUGUAUUUCUUAUGUGAAUGGUGGCUAAAACAUUUGAAAGACAUUGAUCUAAAUUAACGGUCUUCAAAAUUUUGUUUGCAUGCAUCAAUUUAUCAUUGUAAGUUUAGUUACAAAGGAUUUCAUGUGGAUUGUAAGCACUAGCAUUGUUAAAUAA